rnacentral:lncRNA from 1 species
AUGGAGGUCGGCGAGAGAGGAGACGCGGCUAGCACAGGAAGAGGGGAGAGAAGGAAAGGGGGCACCAGCCAGGCAGACCAGGCAGGGUCUCAGCUCCCCCUCUGUGCAGACACACUGACAGCCACAUGUGGACUUCUCCCCCAGCUGCAGCUGGGAAUCGGCCUCCAGUCAGAAGCAGGACAGGGAACAAGCAUGGUGGUUUUGGUGUCAUGGAUUCAAAUCCCAGCUGGAUGACUCUGCUCACCUCACCUGCCUUUCAGUUUCCAUGAGCUGCUAUAUAGCAGAGUGGUCAGGAGCACAGACUCUAGAGCCCGACCCAAGGUUAAUCCCUGUUCUGCCACUGACUAUGGGAACACAGACAAGGCACUUCACUCUGGGCCUCAGUUUACCAGUCUCUUAAAUGGGGAUGGAUAUAAUCAUCCUCUUCUCUAGGGAUAUUGUGAGAGUUAAAGGAGGUAAUUAACAUAAAACCCUUAGAACAGUGCUUAGCGCAGGUGAGGGUCAUGUCGCUGAAUAUAAGACACUGUCUAUGCAUUACACUUUUAAAGAUGUUAAAAUGCAAAAAUGUGCACCCCUAUAAUUGAGGAGGUAAGGUAUAAUUUCGAGAUACUGCAUAGAAAACAUCACUGUAAACUCUAAAAUAAUAGGCAAAACCUAAAGUUCCUGGGUGUUUUCUGUGUGCCAGGCACUGUGCCAAGGACUUACAAGCAUUGUCCCAUUCAACCCUAUAAUAACCCUAUGAGGAAGGUUAUAGAAUCAUCUUCACUUUACAGAUGAGGAAACAGAGACCCCAAGACAUUAAGUGAUUUGUCCAAGAUCACACAGCUUUGUCCACAUAAAUGUUGGGCAUUCAUCACCACAACCGCAACUGUCCCACCCCUUUUUGGCUUCAUCUGGUUUAGAAAUUUUUUGUUUGUUUGUUUUUUUGUUUGUUUGAGACGGAGUCUCACUCUGUUGCCCAGGCUGGAGUGCAGUGGAGUGAUCUUGGCUCACUGC